GACGAACGCUGGCGGCGUGCUUAACACAUGCAAGUCGAACGAAGUGGCGAACGGGUGAGUAACGCGUAAUCAACCUGCCCUUCAGAGGGGGACAACAGUUGGAAACGACUGCUAAUACCGCAUACUGAAGGAGGGGAUUGCGUCUGAUUAGCUAGUUGGGGGGGUAACGGCCCACCAAGGCGAAGGUACGCAGCCGGGCUGGAGAGAUGGACGGCCACAAUGGGACUGGGACACGGGCCAGACUCCUACGGGGGGGAGCAGUGGGGAAACUUCCGAAAUGGACGGAAGUCUGACGGAGCAACGCCGCGUGAGUGAUGACGGCCUUCGGGUUGUAAAGCUCUGUUAAUCGGGACGCGGUACCGGAAUAGAAAGCCACGGCUAACUACGUGCCAGCAGCCGCGGUAAUUC
rnacentral:rRNA from 1 species